rnacentral:rRNA from 1 species
CUACGGGGGGCUGCAGUAAGGAAUAUUGGGCAAUGGACGCAAGUCUGACCCAGCCAUGCCGCGUGCAGGAUGACAGCCCUACGGGUUGUAAACUGCUUUUAUACGGGAAAAAUUCCCUGGUCGUGCACCGGGGUUGAUGGUACCGUAAGAAUAAGCAUCGGCUAACUCCGUGCCAGCAGCCGCGGUAAUACGGAGGAUGCAAGCGUUAUCCGGAUUCAUUGGGUUUAAAGGGUGCGCAGGCGGAAUGAUAAGUCAGUGGUGAAAUCCUACGGCUCAACUGUAGAACUGCCAUUGAUACUGUUGUUCUUGAGUACAUUUGAAGUGGGCGGAAUGUGUCAUGUAGCGGUGAAAUGCUUAGAGAUGACACAGAACACCGAUUGCGAAGGCAGCUCACUAAACUGUAACUGACGCUGAGGCACGAAAGCGUGGGGAUCAAACAGGAUUAGAUACCCGCGUAGUC